AUCUACACAAACCCGGGAAGUUCUCACACCCCUCUCUCUCUCUUUAAAUGAAUUUGCAUGACUUAUGUUUCUUUGUUUUUAACAUUGAGGACAAUGUUUGUUUUAAGUUGUGGGUGAUUGAGUUCUUUGGUUUCAUAAUGUAUGCUGCAGCAGUCCUCUGUAUUUGUUUCAAAUUAUGUCCUUUUCUGCUGCUGCUUUUGUAUUUUGGCCCACGUUGCGUUCUUUGUUUUUUCGAUCUGAAUCCAACCAUAUGAAGAACGUGAACUUUGGCCAAGUAUUUUGUGAGAUACAUGUCAUUCUUUGCACCUGGGUCAAAACUGCAGCAUUGUUUAUUGAUUUUCAAUCCCUCUUCAACUUUUGGUUUUUAUUUAAUUAGUUUUUAUUCUAUUGUUUUGUUUUGUUUUCAGUUUUUUUUUCUUUUAAAAAAAUAAAAAAAUAAAAAAUCAGAAAAAUGUCAUAAAAACCUAAAAAUAUUUUCUUUAACUUUGAGUCUAGUUUUUUUUUUUUUUUUUUUUUUUUUUUUUUUUUUUGUAGUAGUCACUUCCCAAUUCUAUGAUGAGAUUGAAUUUUAUUGACAAUUAACUUGCAAGGAAUUGUGAGCAUGAUAUUAAUUCUUUACAUUAUCCUUGUGUUAACCUUAGUUUUGUGAUUAAACUUGGUAAAUAUUUUUGCACAUAGCCAUAUUAAUAUGAGUUUUGAUUGGAGUUCACAUGAUUUAAAUUCCCAAAUAAGGCUAGUGUAGACUUGUACAACCCUUAUUAUGUGAGCUUUUGAGCCUAUACCUUUCUUCCCUGAGUGUUAUAUACUAUUCUAUAAUUUUCAUGUCUACAAGUCGUUGUGAUCUCAUUAUUCUUUGUUUUGGUCAAGUACUUGAGGAUGUUUAAAUUGUUUGCUAGAACUACUUUCAUUAUCUAUUUGAGGCAUAUUUCAUGAACCACAUGGAUCCUAGGAAGUGAUAUAGGCCUUGUUUCAUUCGUUUGAGCCUUUCCAGCCAACCCAUAUCAAUUUUAUCCGUAGUCAACCCCUUGUGCCUUUUAUGUAAGCCUUUAUCAUUCUUUACCCAAUUCUCUUCACCUGAACCUUUUGCAUAUUUAUCCUACACCCUUCUAAGGAGUUUUGUAGAGCACUUUCAUGGUUAAGGGAGAAUUGCACAAAUUGUUCAAUCAUGUGUAUAUGAUACUGUUUCAAAAAAAAAAAAAAAGAAAAAAAAAAGUCUGAUUCCGAAGCCUUUUCAACUCGAGUUUUUAAGCCCGAGGAGUGUUUUACACUUAAUACCCUAAAGCUAUCUAGCUUGGGAGUUAUUGGCCUAACACUUAUUACAUGGGUUGAUUAGAAAGCUAAUGGAGUUAAAAAAAAAAAAAUAAAUAAAGAUAGUAUCAAGAUAAAAUUGUGUGCUAAAGUGCAAGAUGUUAUAAUUUCAUGGAAAGCUUUACUUAGCCCUUAGACUUCGUUUGUUCAUCUAUGUCUCUUUCUUGUUUC
rnacentral:lncRNA from 1 species